rnacentral:rRNA from 1 species
GAACGCUAGCGACAGGCCUAACACAUGCAAGUCGAGGGCAGCACAAGGAGCAAUCUGAGGUGGCGACCGGCGCACGGGUGAGUAACACGUAUGCAACCUGCCUGUAAGCGGGGAAUAACCCGUUGAAAGACGGACUAAUACCGCAUAAUACUAAAUUACUGCAUGGUAAUUUAUUUAAACAUUUAUGGCUUACAGAUGGGCAUGCGCAUGAUUAGCUAGUUGGAGAGGUAACGGCUCCCCAAGGCAACGAUCAUUAGGGGUUCUGAGAGGAAGGUCCCCCACACUGGUACUGAGACACGGACCAGACUCCUACGGGAGGCAGCAGUGAGGAAUAUUGGUCAAUGGACGAGAGUCUGAACCAGCCAAGUCGCGUGCAGGAAGAAUUGUCCUAUGGAUUGUAAACUGUCUUUUGCGAGGGGAAUAAAGUGCAUCACGUGUGAUGUUUUGUAUGUACUCUGCGAAUAAGGAUCGGCUAACUCCGUGCCAGCCGCCGC